GAAAUGCGAUAAGUAGUGUGAAUUGCAUUUAGUGAAUCAUCGAAUCUUUGAACGCACCCUGCACUCACUGGUAUUCCGGUGAGUACGCCUGUUUCAGUAUCAUUGAAAACACACAAUCAAAACAUUUUCUUUGGUUUGAUUGGCUUUGGGUCUAUCAAAAAGUUUGGCUUGUUUCUUACAAGCCAAGCGGCCUGAAAUAUAUUGUCUGGCUAAUUGCAUCGUUGAUGAUCGCUAUUAGACUUUGGCUUUUUUAAAUGAACUGGAGGUUGAUUAACCAGUUUUAGCUUUAGUCAAAUGGUCAUUGUAAAAAAAAUCUCGAUCUUGGCUAGGUGUUUAUAGCCGAAAAUUUUUUUUUGGCUAUAACCGAAACCAAUAUAAUCACAUUUAGUUAUCGAUCUGAAAUCAGGUGGGACUACCCGCUGAACUUAAGC
rnacentral:misc_RNA from 1 species